rnacentral:rRNA from 1 species
UACGGAGGGGGGCUAGCGUUGUUCGGAAUUACUGGGCGUAAAGCGCACGCAGGUGGCUGAGUCAGUCGAUUGUGAAAGCCCUGGGCUUAACCUGGGAAUUGCAGUCGAUACUACUCAGCUAGAGUAUGGGAGAGGGUAGUGGAAUUCCCGGUGUAGCGGUGAAAUGCGUAGAUAUUCGGAAGAACACCAGUGGCGAAAGGCGACACACUGGCCCGUAACUGACGCUGAGGCGCGAAAGCGUGGGGAGCAAACAGGG